AAGAAAGCAAAGAAAGACAAGAAACAGAAACAGAGAUAAUAAAAUGAAUGGGUAAUAGUGUGGUUCUUGUUGUUUGUUUUAUAAUUUUGAUCUAAACCGGUUUUAUGCUUCAAUUUUGUUCGUCUU
rnacentral:ribozyme from 1 species